rnacentral:rRNA from 1 species
AGAGUUUGAUCAUGGCUCAGGACGAACGCUGGCGGCGUGCCUAAUACAUGCAAGUCGAGCGCGGGAAGCAGACUGAUUCUUUCGAGAUGACGUUUGUGGAACGAGCGGCGGAUGGGUGAGUAACACGUGGGCAACCUGCCUGUAAGAUUGGGAUAACUCCGGGAAACCGGGGCUAAUACCGAAUAAUGCUUUUUCUCGCAUGAGAGAAAGAUGAAAGGUGGCUUUUAGCUAUCACUUACAGAUGGGCCCGCGGCGCAUUAGCUAGUUGGUGGGGUAAUGGCCUACCAAAGCAACGAUGCGUAGCCGACCUGAGAGGGUGAUCGGCCACACUGGGACUGAGACACGGCCCAGACUCCUACGGGAGGCAGCAGUAGGGAAUCUUCCGCAAUGGACGCAAGUCUGACGGAGCAACGCCGCGUGAGUGAUGAAAGUCUUCGGAUUGUAAAACUCUGUUGUUAGGGAAGAACAAGUACCGUUCAAAUAGGGCGGUACCUUGACGGUACCUAACCAGAAAGCCCCGGCUAACUACGUGCCAGCAGCCGCGGUAAUACGUAGGGGGCAAGCGUUGUCCGGAAUUAUUGGGCGUAAAGGGCGCGCAGGCGGUCUUCUAAGUCUGAUGUGAAAUCCCACGGCUUAACCGUGGAAGGUCAUUGGAAACUGGAGGACUUGAGUGCAGAAGAGAGAGUGGAAUUCAUGUGUACCGGUGAAAUGCGUA